UACGUAGGGACCAAGCGUUGUCCGGAAUUAUUGGGCGUAAAGAGCGCGUAGGCGGUCCGAUAAGUCGGCUGUGAAAGUCCAGGGCUCAACCCUGGAAAGCCGGCCGAUACUGUCGGACUAGAGUCCGGAAGAGGCGAGUGGAAUUCCCGUGGUAGCGGUGAAAUGCGCAGAUAUCAGGAGGAACACCAGUGGCGAAGGCGGCUCACUGGCCCGUACUGACUGACGCUGAGGCACGAAAGCGUGGGGAGCAAACAGG
rnacentral:rRNA from 1 species